GCCUGGGUGGCUCAGUUGGAUAAGCGUCUGAUUUCAGCUCAGGUCAUGAUCUCACAGCUUGUGGGUUUGAGCCCCAUGUCGGGCU
rnacentral:tRNA from 1 species